AUUAUACUCCCUCCGUCCGAAAAAGCUUGUCCCUCAAAUGGAUGUAUCUAGCACCAAGUUAGUGGUAGAUAUAUCCAUGAGGGACAAGCUUUUUUGGACGGAGGGAGUUUGAA
rfam:Triticum aestivum genome assembly, contig: Triticum_aestivum_CS42_TGACv1_scaffold_062466_1DL